AUCAAUCAGAUUCACCAAAUAUGUUAAUCUAACACAUAUAUGUUUACUCACCAAUCUAGUGUGGAUGUGAAUACGUAUGAUGCAUGCAUUCCCUGUAUGUUAUUUUUUUAAAAUAGUAGUUGAUUAAUCCAGCAACUAAUUAGACACUGACUUUUUAAAUUCAAACUAAAAAUAUAUUACAAACUCAAAAUUUAGACACCAAAUUUGCCAACCUAAAUCCUACUGUCCUAAUAAGGUGGUAAAUAAUAUAGUAGAAACUAGAAAAAAUGUGGUUAUCCAUGUGGUCAUUUUUUUCAUAAUAUAUGAAGGUUUUUUUUUUUUUUUUUUUUUUUUUUUUUUUUUUUUUUUUUUUUUUUUUCAUGACAUAUAAAGUUUGACACAAAGAAAUGGUCAAAACGUGAUUCAGGUAGUAAAAAUGACGUUGAAGGAAUCCACCUCUUUCUGUUCGUUUAAUUCAGAAUUUUAAACCUCAAUUCCAUCCACAACCAUGUGAAAAACACUAGGGGAAAAAAACAAGAAAAAAAGGAAA